GUUUGGGGUUUCCUGCCGGAUCUUUGCUACACUACUGACUGAUUUCCUGGAUUCUGACCUCUGCCUGCUUUACCGACUACGUUACUCCGCUGCCAGCCCUGACUUCUGCUUCUCGUCUGACCCUGCCUUUGGAUUACCCCUUUAUCUGUACUGUGUUUUUGGAUUUUGUCUCCUCCUUGUGCCAUCUCCUGCAACUGGGCUCCAACUCCUGGUAAACUGUUCC
rnacentral:lncRNA from 1 species